GGCUACCCGCUGAGUUUAAGCAUAUCAAUAAGCCGGAGGA
rnacentral:rRNA from 1 species